rnacentral:rRNA from 1 species
AUACGAGGGGUGCAAGCGUUGUUCGGAAUUACUGGGCGUAAAGGGAACGUAGGCGGGUAAUCAAGUUGGCUGUUUAAUCCCGAGGCCCAACCUCGGACUUGCAGUCAAAACUGAUUGUCCUGAAUUAUUCAGAGGCAGAUGGAAUUUCAGGUGUAGCGGUGGAAUGCGUAGAUAUCUGAAAGAACACCAAUGGCGAAGGCAGUCUGCUGGGGAUACAUUGACGCUGAGGUUCGAAAGCGUGGGUAGCGAACAGGAUUAGAUACCCUGGUAGUCCACGCUGUAAACGAUGUGUACUAGGUGUCAGUAUUUAUACUGGUACCGCAGCUAACGCUUUAAGUACACCGCCUGGGUAGUACGCUCGCAAGAGUGAA